CGCGUAGGCGGCCUGAUAAGUAGGGGGUGAAAUCCUGUGGCUCAACUGCAGGGCUGCCUCCUAGACUGUCGGGCUUGAGCACGGUAGAGGCAGAUGGAAUUCCCGGUGUAGCGGUGGAAUGCGUAGAGAUCGGGAAGAACAUCGGUGGCGAAGGCGGUCUGCUGGGCCGUUGCUGACGCUGAGGCGCGACAGCGUGGGGAGCAAACAGGAUUAGAUACCCUGGUAGUCCACGCCGUAAACGAUGGACACUAGGCGUCGGGGGGAGCGACCCUCUCGGUGCCGUCGCUAACGCAGUAAGUGUCCCGCCUGGGGAGUACGGCCGCAAGGCUGAA
rnacentral:rRNA from 1 species